UACGUAGGUGGCAAGCGUUAUCCGGAUUUAUUGGGCGUAAAGGGAACGCAGGCGGUCUUUUAAGUCUGAUGUGAAAGCCUUCGGCUUAACCGGAGUAGUGCAUUGGAAACUGGGAGACUUGAGUGCAGAAGAGGAGAGUGGAACUCCAUGUGAAGCGGUGAAAUGCGUAGAUAUAUGGAAGAACACCAGUGGCGAAAGCGGCUCUCUGGUCUGUAACUGACGCUGAGGUUCGAAAGCGUGGGUAGCAAACAGG
rnacentral:rRNA from 1 species